GGCAUGCAUGAUGUGUCAAUCUUGAAUGGUAUUAGUCAGCAUAAUUUACCUUGAAGCUUGGUCGAAAUUCAUGAUUGGAAAAUUAAAAUUUGAUUGUAGAGAAAAUUCUAGGAUUACUUUUAUUGGAUCAGAAUACAUUUUAUUUGGCUAAUAUAAACUAUAUUUGGGCAAAUUAUAAGAUGCACGAGCAAUGUAUCAUUAUUCAUAAAAAGUCAGUUGUUUCUUGAAUUGAAUAGUAUAAGACCACCAAUGAUUCAUUGGCCUAGUGAUUAAUGAUGGCGUGGGCUUGGGAGAGAUCCCAG
rnacentral:misc_RNA from 1 species